AGCGAACGCUGGCGGCAGGCCUAACACAUGCAAGUCGAACGAAGUCUUCGGACUUAGUGGCGGACGGGUGAGUAACACGUGGGAACGUACCUUUUGGUUCGGAACAACUCAGGGACACUUGAGCUAAUACCGGAUGAGCCCUUAGGGGGAAAGAUUUAUCGCCGAAAGAGCGGCCCGCGUUAGAUUAGCUAGUUGGUGAGGUAAAGGCUCACCAAGGCUACGAUCUAUAGCUGGUCUGAGAGGAUGAUCAGCCACACUGGGACUGAGACACGGCCCAGACUCCUACGGGAGGCAGCAGUGGGGAAUCUUGCGCAAUGGGCGAAAGCCUGACGCAGCCAUGCCGCGUGAAUGAUGAAGGUCUUAGGAUUGUAAAAUUCUUUUACCAGGGACGAUAAUGACGGUACCUGGAGAAAAAGCCCCGGCUAACUUCGUGCCAGCCGCCGCUGUAAGAC
rnacentral:rRNA from 1 species